GUACUGGAUGGGAGUUAUGCCGCAGUGACCCAUUAUCGAAUGCCGAAGAAGAACGAAUUGGCAGGUGUUCGGACAGUGC
rfam:Rivularia sp. PCC 7116, complete genome.